UGCUGAAGAUGACUCUACAAGGACAGAUGGAUCAGGACUCGACAGAGUUUCCCAGCAGGUGAGCUGUGCUUUGCUGGAAGAUUCAUUAAGGAUAUGCAAGCUGCUGUGAAUGACAAGUGCACACCCCACAGAGUUGAAACCAGUGACUUCCUCCAAGAGCCACGGAUGGUCUAUAGGAAUUGGCCAACCAUAUCGAUGACUUCUUGGAACUGAACAUUGACAACGUGACGAAGCCUAACAGGAACGUGAUCAAAUGAAGCUGCUUCCUGCCUCCUUCUGCGGUUCCCCUUUCCGACUUGGAAAAGGAUGGAAAAGAACACAAAGUAUUCCCACCAGGAAGCUUGGAAGCUUGUCAGAACCUACAAAUGUUUCUCAAACUUCAUG